UACAGAGGUCCCGAGCGUUGUUCGGAUUCAUUGGGCGUAAAGGGUGCGUAGGCGGCGGGGUAAGUUUGGUGUGAAAUCUCCCGGCUCAACUGGGAGGGUGCGCCGAAUACUGAAUGACUAGAGUGCGGGAGAGGAGAGUGGAAUUCCUGGUGUAGCGGUGAAAUGCGUAGAUAUCAGGAGGAACACCGGUGGUGUAGACGGCUCUCUGGACCGUAACUGACGCUGAGACACGAAAGCGUGGGUAGCAAACAGG
rnacentral:rRNA from 1 species